rnacentral:lncRNA from 1 species
UUCUUCAUGUUCAUCUUGCUCCAAUGAACCAGAAACAAUUCUAAUAUACAAUUGCUUUAUACAAUAAGUUUGUAUAUUAACCUAAUGGCUAAUAUACAAUUGCUUUUCCUUUCCUCUUCUUACUUGAACUAGCAUCGUACUGAUCUUUGUCACCUCCCUCAACAAUUUCAUAUUGCUUCGAUUUUGCACUAAUUUCACCCAAUCUGAUUGGGUCAUUCUUAAAUUUGGAUCUGAUGUCUUUAAUUUAUUUGGAUUUGGCUAUUGAACCUGCAACCUC